rnacentral:rRNA from 1 species
UACGUAGGCAGCGAGCGUUGUUCGGAAUUACUGGGCGUAAAGAGUGUGUAGGCGGUGCUCUAAGUUCGGUGUGAAAUCUCCCGGCUUAACUGGGAGGGUGCGCCGGAAACUGGAGUGCUCGAGCGUGGGAGAGGAAAGCGGAAUUCCUGGUGUAGCGGUGAAAUGCGUAGAUAUCAGGAGGAACACCUGCGGUGUAGACGGCUUUCUGGACGGUAACUGACGCUGAGACGCGAAAGCGUGGGGAGCAAACAGG